GAUGAACGCUGGCGGCGUGCCUAAUACAUGCAAGUCGAGCGAACGGACGAGAAGCUUGCUUCUCUGAUGUUAGCGGCGGACGGGUGAGUAACACGUGGAUAACCUACCUAUAAGACUGGGAUAACUUCGGGAAACCGGAGCUAAUACCGGAUAAUAUUUUGAACCGCAUGGUUCAAAAGUGAAAGACGGUCUUGCCGUCACUUAUAGAUGGAACCGCGCUGCAUUAGCUAGUUGGUAAGGUAACGGCUUACCAAGGCAACGAUGCAUAGCCGACCUGAGAGGGUGAUCGGCCACACUGGAACUGAGACACGGUCCAGACUCCUACGGGAGGCAGCAGUAGGGAAUCUUCCGCAAUGGGCGAAAGCCUGACGGAGCAACGCCGCGUGAGUGAUGAAGGUCUUCGGAUCGUAAAACUCUGUUAUUAGGGAAGAACAUAUGUGUAAGUAACUGUGCACAUCUUGACGGUACCUAAUCAGAAAGCCACGGCUAACUACGUG
rnacentral:rRNA from 1 species